UGUUCUGUGACUAAGUUGAUUAAAGUUCCGGUCUAACGAAUACGGAGUCGUGGGUUUAAAUUCCACCAGAAUGC
rnacentral:tRNA from 1 species